rnacentral:rRNA from 1 species
AGAGUUUGAUUAUGGCUCAGGAUGAACGCUGGCGGCGUGCUUAACACAUGCAAGUCGGACGGAGAUAUUUGAAAGCUUGCUUUUAGAUAUCUUAGUGGCGGACGGGUGAGUAACGCGUGGGUAACCUACCCUGUACAGGGGGGAUAGCAGUUGGAAACGACUGAUAAAACCGCAUAAAACGGCAGUACCGCAUGGUACAACCGUCAAAUAUUCAUAGGUACAGGAUGGGCCCGCGUCUGAUUAGCUAGUUGGUGGGGCAACGGCCUACCAAGGCGACGAUCAGUAGCCGGCCUGAGAGGGUGAACGGCCACAUUGGGACUGAGACACGGCCCAAACUCCUACGGGAGGCAGCAGUGGGGAAUAUUGGACAAUGGGGGAAACCCUGAUCCAGCGACGCCGCCGUGAGUGAAGAAGUAUUUCGGUAUGUAAAGCUCUAUCAGCAGGGAAGAUGAUGACGGUACCUGACUAAGAAGCACCGGCUAAAUACGUGCCAGCAGCUGC